UGAGACACGGUCCAGACUCCUACGGGAGGCAGCAGUGAGGAAUCUUCCACAAUGGGCGAAAGCCUGAUGGAGCAACGCCGCGUGCAGGAUGAAGGCCUUCGGGUUGUAAACUGCUUUUAUAAGUGAAGAAUAUGACGGUAACUUAUGAAUAAGCACCGGCUAACUACGUGCCAGCAGCCGCGGUCAUACGUAGGGUGCAAGCAUUAUCCGGAGUGACUGGGCGUAAAGAGUUGCGUAGGUGGUUUGUUAAGCGAGUAGUGAAAUCAGACGGCUCAACCGUACUGGCUAUUACUCGAACUGGCAAACUCGAGAAUGGUAGAGGUAACUGGAAUUUCUUGUGUAGGAGUGAAAUCCGUAGAUAUAAGAAGGAACACCAAUGGCGUAGGCAGGUUACUGGACCAUUUCUGACACUGAGGCACGAAAGCGUGGGGAGCGAACGGGAUUAGAUACCCCGGUAGUCCACGCCGUAAACGAUGGAUACUAGCUGUUGGAGGUAUCGACCCCUCCAGUAGCGAAGCUAACGCGUUAAGUAUCCCGCCUGUGGAGUACGGUCGCAAGACUAAAACAUAAAGGAAUUGACGGGGACCCGCACAAGCGGUGGAUUGUGUUCUUUAAUUCGAUGAUAAACGAUGAACCUUACCAGGGCUUGACAUCCCGAGAAUUUUGCCGAAAGGCGAGAGUGCUUUAUUGAACUCGGUGACAGAUCUUGCAUGGCCGUCGUCAGCUCGUGUCGUGAGAUGUUUGGUUAAGUCCAUCAACGAGCGCAACCCUUGUGAAUAGUUGGAUUUUUCUAUUCAGACUGCCCCGGCAACGGGGAGGAAGGAGGGGAUGAUGUCAGGUCAGUAUUAGUCUUACGUCCUGGGCUAGAAACGCAAUACAAUGGCAAGUACAAUGCGCAGCGAAGCCGCGAGGUGGAGCAAAUCGCAUCAAAGCUUGUCCCAGUUCGGAUAAGAGGCUGAAACUCGCCUCUUUGAAGUCGG
rnacentral:rRNA from 1 species